AUUCUCUUUUCUUUCUUUUUUUUUUUUAAGCCUCUUCAUUGCUGUACAGACCCACGAAUUUUAAAUGUCUUUCUCAGGGCUAUUUUGGAGAAAGAGCUCACAAGAUAACUCAAGCUGUCAUCCUCUUUUAGUAGAUCCACCCACAGACUCUACACCCCUAGUAGCAUUGCCAUGCUUUCAAGAAAACCUUCAGUAUCUGUACCAAUCUCACUGGGAAGAUAGUUAAUAAGAAAUUAAAGAAUGAUUCUGAAUUACCCACCUGAACUAAUGAAAUGUAGACAUGGACAGCACACUCAAGAUAUUCAGGAACAUGGAUGAAUCUGGGAACCAUCAUUCUCAGCAAACUGACACAAGAACAGAAAACCAAACAUCGUAUGUUAUCACUCCUAGCAUUAAAGUUCCAUUUUAUGAAAAACGAGAAUGAUAUUGUGGAGAAUAACCUAAAGGACAUGCCAUUCAUCCAUUCUUCUUUUCUACCUUCCAAG